UACGUAGGGGGCAAGCGUUGUCCGGAAUUAUUGGGCGUAAAGAGCUCGUAGGCGGUUUGUCGCGUCUGCUGUGAAAACUCGGGGCUUAACUCCGGGCCUGCAGUGGGUACGGGCAGACUAGAGUGCGGUAGGGGAGACUGGAAUUCCUGGUGUAGCGGUGAAAUGCGCAGAUAUCAGGAGGAACACCGGUGGCGAAGGCGGGUCUCUGGGCCGUAACUGACGCUGAGGAGCGAAAGCAUGGGGAGCGAACAGG
rnacentral:rRNA from 1 species